AUUGAACGCUGGCGGCAGGCUUAACACAUGCAAGUCGAGCGGGGGAAGGUAGCUUGCUACCGGACCUAGCGGCGGACGGGUGAGUAAUGCUUAGGAAUCUGCCUAUUAAUGGGGGACAACAUCUCGAAAGGGAUGCUAAUACCGCAUACGUCCUACGGGAGAAAGCAGGGGAUCUUCGGACCUUGCGCUAAUAGAUGAGCCUAAGUCGGAUUAGCUAGUUGGUGGGGUAAAGGGCUACCAAGGCGACGAUCUGGAGCGGGUCUGAGAGGAUGAUCCGCCACACUGGGACUGAGACACGGCCCAGACUCCUACGGGAGGCAGCAGUGGGGAAUAUUGGACAAUGGGGGGAACCCUGAUCCAGCCAUGCCGCGUGUGUGAAGAAGGCCUUAUGGUUGUAAAGCACUUUAAGCGAGGAGGGGGCUACUUUAGUUAAUACCUGGAGAUAGUGGACGUUACUCGCAGAAUAAGCACCGGCUAACUCUGUGCCAGCCGCCGCCGUAA
rnacentral:rRNA from 1 species